GCCUGGCUGGCUCAGUGAGUAGAGCAUGGGACUCUUGAUCUUGGAGUAGUGAGUUCAAACCCAUAUUGGGCA
rnacentral:tRNA from 1 species